AUGUGCGGGCGCCAGAAGGGCGGCGACAUCGAGGCGGGGACCUCCGGUGGCACUGCUGGCACCGUGGUGCCGGCGCCGGCGCAGGUGCUGUACCCCGGCAUGGCGGAGAGCCCGCCGCUGCGCUGGGCGCUCAUCCGGAAGAUCUACGUCAUCCUCUCCCUGCAGCUUCUCCUCACCGCCGUCAUCGCGGCCGUCGUUGUCAAGGUCCCCGCCUUCCCGCACUUCUUCGUCUCCUCCUACGCCGGCCUCGGGCUCUACAUCUUCAUCCUCAUCCUCCCCUUCAUCGUGCUCUGCCCGUUGUACUUCUACAGCCAGCCGCACCCAGUCAACCUGCUGCUGCUCGGCGUCUUCACAGACUUCGCUGUGGGCAUGACAUGUGCCUUUACUAGCGGCAAGGUCAUUUUGGAAGCGGCGAUUCUUACCACAGUGGUUGUCUUCAGCCUCACUGCUUACACCUUUUUGGCUGCAAGGAGGGGCAUGGACUUCAGCUUCCUUGGUCCUUUCCUAUUUGCUUCUCUCAUCAUGUUGCUCGUCUUUGGGUUCAUUCAGAUCCUCUUCCCACUGGGCAAGCUCUCUCACAUGAUCUAUGGCGCGCUGGCGGCACUCAUCUUCAGUGGUUACAUUGUCUAUGACACGGACAUCAUCAUCAAGCGUUACACGUAUGACGAGUAUGUCUGGGCCGCCGUCUCGCUCUACCUUGACAUCAUCAAUCUGUUCAUGGCACAGCUGAACCUGUUUAGCGCGGGUGACACUAAAGCACGCCCCCCUGCCCCUGACUGUUCACGAGUCCUUGACUGA
rnacentral:rRNA from 1 species